CCUACGGGCGGCAGCAGUGGGGAAUAUUGGACAAUGGGGGCAACCCUGAUCCAGCCAUGCCGCGUGUGUGAAGAAGGCCCUCGGGUGGUAAAGCACUUUCAGUGAGGAAGAACGCCUGGUGGUUAAUACCCAUCAGGAAAGACAUCACUCACAGAAGAAGCACCGGCUAACUCCGUGCCAGCAGCCGCGGUAAUACGGAGGGUGCGAGCGUUAAUCGGAAUUACUGGGCGUAAAGCGCGCGUAGGUGGCUUGAUAAGCCGGUUGUGAAAGCCCCGGGCUCAACCUGGGAACGGCAUCCGGAACUGUCAAGCUAGAGUGCAGGAGAGGAAGGUAGAAUUCACGGUGUAGCGGUGAAAUGCGUAGAGAUCGGGAGGAAUACCAGUGGCGAAGGCGGCCUUCUGGACUGACACUGACACUGAGGUGCGAAAGCGUGGGUAGCAAACAGGAUUAGAUACCCUGGUAGUC
rnacentral:rRNA from 1 species